UGGGGAAUAUUGCACAAUGGGCGCAAGCCUGAUGCAGCCAUGCCGCGUGUAUGAAGAAGGCCUUCGGGUUGUAAAGUACUUUCAGCGGGGAGGAAGGGAGUAAAGUUAAUACCUUUGCUCAUUGACGUUACCCGCAGAAGAAGCACCGGCUAACUCCGUGCCAGCAGCCGCGGUAAUACGGAGGGUGCAAGCGUUAAUCGGAAUUACUGGGCGUAAAGCGCACGCAGGCGGGUUGUUAAGUCAGAUGUGAAAUCCCCGGGCUCAACCUGGGAACUGCAUCUGAUACUGGCAAGCUUGAGUCUCGUAGAGGGAGGUAGAAUUCCAGGUGUAGCGGUGAAAUGCGUAAAGAUCUGGAGGAAUACCGGUGGCGAAGGCGGCCCCCUGGACGAAGACUGACGCUCAGGUGCGAAAGCGUGGGGAGCAAACAGG
rnacentral:rRNA from 1 species